CUACAUUCUCUUUUCCUAGAAGUGGGUGGGGAAUCACGCUUAGAAAUGGUGCAGUGGCGUACGCGCAGUGGCUAGUCUUCUCUCGAAUAUUCUGGGAGGAACAGUAAAGACAAUUUUGAGAGUCCUACUUGCAGCCAAGGACAUUGAGAUCAAGACUCUCAAACAAAAAGAGUAAUAAAAGCCUCUUCCAUCUUCAGAAUAAGUAGAACCAUCCUGUCUGGGAACCUUGCUGAUGUGGGAGGCAGUAGAGAAUUGGGCAUAAUAAUGGAACAUUCCUGAAGUUUGGCAGGAAUGCUUUUAAAUAACACUGGAAGAUGUCAUUUAGUGCCCUUUGACCCAGGCACUCACCUCUAAUUCCGUGGCUAAGCAGAAAAUGUGUAAACGAAAGGAGCAGCAAGAGCCAACCCUAGAUGUCCUGCAGCAGUGGAAACCAAGUUACUGAUUCAGACCACCAGAUGGCAGACCACAGGAAAAGGAAAAAGGAGAGGAAGAAAUGUCACCUACCAAGACCCAGCUCCAGGAUGACCCAGAGAUCUUAGAAAACUUGGUUUCCUAUUAGUACUGAGGAGGUCAGGGGUCAGGGAAGAUUACUCAGAGGCAUUGUUUUAAACUAUAGUAAUGUACUUAAUUAUCUGAUAGUAACAUGGUUUAUUAUGUGAUGCAUUUUAUUAUCAGAUAAAACAUCUUUUGUUUUCUUUUUUUCUCUGUAAAUGUUAUUCUCAUUCUUAAGGCCUCCAAGAAUAAUGUCAUAAUUGGAUUGCAUCAAACCUAUAAGUUAAUUUGGAAAAAAAAUCAAGAUCUUUAUGAUACUUAUUUUUCUCAUGAAAGAAUGUGUUUUUGUCAC